CUCCCAUCUCUCUCUAUCCAGGAAAUUUAAUUUUCGUGGGUGUGGGAAGAAUCAAGUCAAUCACUCCAACAGUUCUAAAGAACUCCAUUCAUUGGCCAGAGAGCUUGGAGAAGAUGGGGUU